rnacentral:rRNA from 1 species
GACGAACGCUGGCGGCGUGCUUAACACAUGCAAGUCGAACGGAUCUCAUCUGCGGAAAUUUUCGAAUGGAAGCAGAUAAGGUUAGUGGCGGACGGGCGAGUAACGCGUGGGUAACCUGGCCUUAUUACGGGGACAACAGCUGGAAACGGCUGCUAAUACCGGAUAAGCUCAGCGGAUGGCAUCAUCUGCUGAGGAAAGAAGGCCUCUGGAACAAGCUAUCGAAUAAGGAUGGACCCGCGUCUGAUUAGCUAGUUGGUGAGAUAAUAGCCCACCAAGGCGACGAUCAGUAGCCGGCCUGAGAGGGUGGCCGGCCACACUGGGACUGAGACACGGCCCAGACUCCUACGGGAGGCAGCAGUGGGGAAUCUUCCGCAAUGGGCGCAAGCCUGACGGAGCAACGCCGCGUGAGUGAAGAAGGCCUUCGGGUCGUAAAGCUCUGUCUUUAGGGAAGAAUAUCCUAUAUGUAAAUAAUGUAUAGGACUGACGGUACCUGAGGAGGAAGCUCCGGCUAACUACGUGCCAGCAGCCGCGGUAAUACGUAGGGAGCAAGCGUUGUCCGGAAUUACUGGGCGUAAAGGGCGCGUAGGCGGGAAUUUAAGUCAGAUGUGAAAACUCCGGGCUCAACCUGGAGCGUGCAUUUGAAACUGGAUUUCUUGAGGGCAGGAGAGGAAAGUGGAAUUCCUAGUGUAGCGGUGAAAUGCGUAGAUAUUAGGAGGAACACCAGUGGCGAAGGCGACUUUCUGGACUGUACCUGACGCUGAGGCGCGAAAGCGUGGGGAGCGAACAGGAUUAGAUACCCUGGUAGUCCACGCUGUAAACGAUGAAUACUAGGUGUAGGAGGUAUCGACCCCUUCUGUGCCGCAGUUAACACAAUAAGUAUUCCGCCUGGGGAGUACGGCCGCAAGGUUG